CUCAUUGGGGAUUCUGGGGUUAUAAUACAGGAAUUGUGGGUAAGUACAGUCACUUCUGCUCCAUGAAAGUGAGGUCAUCAUUCGUUUCAGGAAGUUGAGUGAGGCCUGAGACAGCAAUGUUUCGUUUAGCCUGGCGGUGGCCCUCCUUGUCUUCAAGAAGAGCAUCCGUGGCUAGCAGUGGAAGAUGGGGUUGGGCCCCAGGAGUGUGAAAUUGGGAAGUAAUUCAAAAUGUAUGUGCCUAGCAUUCCUUUUAUGUAACAUGAGGGGAAUAGAAGUACCAAACCGAUGCAGUUCAGUGGAGAAUUAAAUGAGAUAGUCACAAGUAAAAGGUGGUAAGUGUGGUUCAUUUUAUUAAUUUUCUUUUAAUUUCCCGAGAAGCCCCAGUUACCUGAAAGCUUCUGUGAGCCUGGGAAGGGAUCAGAGUUCCACCUGCAGUGCUAUUUUGCCCCUUCUUUCUGAUCCUUACAGGAAGCAGGACGAUUCCUGGAUUCCCUUUUUAAAAAAAUGGUCACAGGAAUGAGGAAAGAAUGACUCUGGCUCCUAGCAGCAGAAUCUUAACUGAGUAUGACUUAGCAUCCUUCUUCUUGCUGUGUCAUCUCUCUUCUCAGGGCAGAAGAUAUUUACUAAUUAGCACAUUCUGCUAGCACAUCUGUGGGAAAAGAGACGCGAUCUUACUGCAUUGACCAG
rnacentral:lncRNA from 1 species